rnacentral:lncRNA from 1 species
UGAACCCGCAUCCUCAUGGGUACUAGUUGGGUUCUUAACCCUCUGAGCCACAAUGGGAACUCCCCGUAUAGGCUUUUAGGGAAGGAUUUUUAAAGGUAGUGUGAGGGGAGGGUUACUGGCUGCAUGAUUGUGCUCAUGCACAUUUCUCUGAAUGGUUGUUGGUGAGGUAACAGGGUGAUGUUUUAGGAAUCUCAGUCAUCAGCCUUCUGAUUCCAACCAGUCUGGGGUCUACAUGCUGGUAGUGAACAUGCAGUUAACUUUUUCCAGCUGAUGGAGGUUUUAUUACCCACAAAACCACUCAAAGAUAUGGCUCAGGGUAUUGUGUAUAGCCCUUGAGGAGGAACUAAUGGUCCUUGACUUUGUUUUAUGGAUAAAUUAUUAUUAUUUUGUCUUGCUUGACUGCUUUCCUUUGUUCUUUCAUUUUCUCACUUCUAUGAUAAAAUUUGCCCUUUAAAACUCAAGGAAAACCUAGAAGGCUAAAGCUUUUCUACAAACCAGAGGCAGAGGACCCAGGAAGGUGUGGCCCCAGAAAGGUCCUGCUUGGUUUCAGCAGUGCUCUUUCAAAAUACAUUCUAAUUUAUCUCAUGUGUGGCAACCUAAAUAAAGAAGUACACUGAGGCAAGCUUGAGUCACCAGACGUUGAACUUAUUCAGGGAUAGCAGAGGAAUUGCAUUUUGGGAAAAGCAAACUCUAGCAACUACAGGUGAGUCCAUUGAAAACUUGGGGCGGGCUGUAUUCAUGGACAGGAGGGGGUAAUCUAGCCAGAAUCCGAAUCAGGAAAUUCAUUGGCUUGAGGAUGGGGAAAGAUUCUUGACAAGUGUUCAGUUCUGUAGCCACUAGCCACAUGUAGCUCUGAGCAACAUGGAAGGUGGGUGGUAAUGUGGAAGAACUUUAUUUUAUUUUUAUUCAUUUAUUUAUUUUGGGGCUGCAUCCAAGGCAUGUGGAGGUUCCCAGGCUUGAAUUGGAGCUACAGCUUCCAGCUUACACUAGAGCCACAGCAACUCAGGAUCUGAGCCUCAUCUGCAACCCACACCACAGCUCGUGGCAACGCUAGAUCCCUGACCCACUGAGUGAGGCCAGGGAUUGAACCCGCAUCCUCAGGGAUACUAGUCAGAUUUGUUUACGCUCCGCCACAACAGGAACUCUCUGGAAGGAGUUAAUUUUAAAUUUUGAUUGAUUCAUUAUUUAUAAUGAAUUAUAUUUAUAAUAUACUAUACACACGUAUCACCACACAUAGUAUAUAAGGUAUAAUUUAUUGUAACAUAGCAAAAUUAUAUAAAUAUCAUCAUAUUUAUAAGAGCCACAUGUGGUCAGUGGCUCCUGUAUUGGACAGCACAGCUUGAAAUGUAUGGGAAACAUAGUGGGCGUUUUGGUUAUCACCAUGACAGGGGGCCACUGUGGCAUUUGGUCCAUGCCUUCUGCAGUGUCUGGACUGGGAUGGCUUGUUCCUCCAGGGAGCUCAGGCAGAGCAGUCUGAUCUGAGAGCACCGUGUUUUCUCAGCUUGGCUCUGCAAACUUUCGCUGGCUGCCCCAGUACAGGGGCUGCUUGAGUUGGGGCUCUCCCCAAGGCUGUCUCCUUAAGUUCCUUGGGGAAGCUGGCCACCUCACACAGGAGUCUCUCAUGCACAGUGAGGGCCCCUUCACAGGCUCUCUCUCUGUUGAACAGGGCUUUGUGUGUCUAGCUUGCUCAACCUGAGAUGUCCUUGUGCCAUUUCCUCGGGCACCAACAUCCUCUUUGGGUAUCUUGGAGGCAGUGAGGUGGAUACUGCCUACUCCCAAAGAUGGCUGAGGGAAAGCACAAGCUAAGGUGAGGGGUCUUUCUGUGGCCACACGGUGGUAAUAGUUGACCUUGUAUGCUGAACUUUUUUUUUUCUUUUUUUUUUUUUGUCUUUGUAAGGCCACACCUGCAGCAUAUGGAAGUUCCCAGGCUUGGGGUCCAAUUGGACCUGCAGCUGCCAGACUACACCACAGUCAGAGCAACACCAGUUGAGUCGCAUCUGUGACCUACGCCACAGUUCACGGCAACCCCAGAUCCUUAACCCACUGAGCAAGGCCAGGGAUGGAACAUGCACCCUCACGGAUACUAGUCGGGUUCAUUACCUCUGAGCCACCACAUGAACUCCUGAACUUAUUGUUAAAAGAUUCAUCAGGACCUCUUAUUUUCCUCUCACAGCUUGGUCUAACUGAAGCUCAGAAGAGGGCUGAGAGGGAUGGUGGGUCAGGGUGCUGGAUUAACCCUCCCCACUCCCCUUCACCCCCCAUUGAUCCCAACAACUGGACCUUGUUGUUAUGGUCAUUUCUCACUCAGAUCCCCUGGAGGUGAUCUCUAGGUCACCUGGAAGGGGCCCACAGUUCUCCCCCUGUCCCAGGCCCAGUGAGCGCAGAGGAAACAGGGUGACCUGUGUGGGGCCCAAGAACGCAGGAUGCUGGGGGACCAGGAACACAACCUCCCACUGACUGGACAUGGGAGAGAACACAUGACAGUGUGGCUGUUGGGGUGGCUUGGCUGGGACAGCCUCAGGUCACAGCGUUGGAGGAGGUGUGGCCCACCCAGGAGCAAAGCUGCAGAAGGGCUAUGGCUUCUGUGACUGAAGCGAGGGGAGGGGAGGGCCGCUCCGCAGGUGCUCAGGAGCACUUGCCUUCCCACUGCAGGAGUCCCAGCAAGGGAGCUCACACAAAAGGUAUGUUUGUGUAUGUUCUAGAAUUUUCUAAGGUGGGAGAUUUGGUGUAUGGAUGUGCAAUUUUAGAGCAUUUAAUUCAAUUUGUCUCUGACUAGGUCUCUUCUAGUUUACCACCCAUAACCUCUGUGGUCUCAUUAUUGUCUGAUUAAUCAUUACUAUGCAAUCCUGAUGUUUUCCUUGAACUUAGGUGGAAACAAGAAGUAAGCACACAUUGUUUUCCUUUUUCUUUUUUUGGCAGCACCCACCGCUUACAAAUCAAACCUGUGCCUCAGCCGUGACAACACCGGAUCCUGAUCCUGCUGAGCCACCAAAGAACUCCACACAUUUUAUUUUGCAAUAUUAUUGAAAAAAAUUUUUCAAAACAUAUACAUUUACAUUUUAACCUAAAACUUUUAUUAUUUUAGAAUUUAACAUUUUAAAGUGAACAAAAUGGGGAGUUCCCAUCAUGGCGCAGCAGAAACAAAUCUGACUAGGAAACAGGUUGCAGGUUGGAUCCCUGGCCUCGCUCAGUGGGUUAAGGAUCUGAUGUUGCCAUGAGCUGUGGUGUAGGUCGAAGAUGUGGCUCAGUGCGGCUCAGAUACUGUGUUGUUAUGGCUGGUGUAGGCCGGCAGCUGUAGCUCUGAUUCAAUCCCUAGCCUUGGAACAUACAUAUGCCACGGGUGCAGCCCUAAAAAUAAAAGCAAAAAAAUAAAGUGAGCAAAAUGUAUUUAUACCAACUUUUAAAUAAUUUAAAGUGGAUUUUUGACUUAAAAAUACAAGGCAGGGGAGUUCCUGUGGUGAUGCAACAGUGUCAUUGAUGUCUUGGGAGCUCUGGGACAAAGGUUUGCUCCCCAGCCCCGGCACAGUGGGUUAAAUAAAGAUCCAGUGUUCUUGCAGCUGCGGUUUAGGUCGCAGCUAUAGCUUGGAUCUGAUCCCUGGC